rnacentral:lncRNA from 1 species
UUGCAUUAUAGACUAAAUUUUGAUCUAGACAAAAAUUUCAUCACAGCUUGAAAGAGCAUCACAAAAUUAGUAAUAUUCCAAAGCUUCGUUGCGAAAUGUUGUAAAAUGCGGAUAAUAUAGCCUUGCGAAAUUUUCAAUUUUCAGUCAUUUUGUAUUACAAACGGGAAAUUGUUGCCCCAACACCCGAUUGGGCUGUCAAUUUCCCGUGCGUAAUACAAAAUGACUGAAAAACGGCAAACUUCGCAUGGCCAUAUUAUCCGCAUUUUACAACAUUUCGCAACGAAACUUUGGAAUAUUACUAA